AUUGAACGCUGGCGGCAGGCCUAACACAUGCAAGUCGAGCGAGCGGCGGCCGGGUGAGUAAUGUAUGGGGACUGCCCGAUAGAGGGGGAUAACUACUGGAAACGGUAGCUAAAACCGCAUACUAUCGGAUAACCCAUAUGGGAUUAGCUAGUUGGUGAGGUAAUGGCUCACCAAGGCGACGAUCCCUAGCUGGUCUGAGAGGAUGAUCAGCCACAGUGGAACUGAGACACGGCCAAGAUCCCUACGGAGGCAGCAGGGGGGAAUAUUGCACAAGGGGCGCAAGCUUGAUGAAGCCAUGCCGGGGGGAUGAAGAAGGCCCUAGGGUUGUAAAGUACUUUCAGUCGGGAGGCGUUACCGACAGAAGAAGCACCGGCUAACUCCGUACCAGCAGCCGCGGUAUAC
rnacentral:rRNA from 1 species